UGAGGAAUCUUGCGCAAUGGGGGCAACCCUGACGAAGCAACGCCGCGUGAGUGAGGAAGGUCUUCGGAUCGUAAAGCUCUGUCAGUUGGGAAGAAAUGCCUGUUGGUUAAUAUCCUUCAGGCUUGACGGUACCAACAGAGGAAGCACCGACUAACUCCGUGCCAGCAGCCGCGGUAAUACGGGGGGUGCAAGCGUUGUUCGGAAUUAUUGGGCGUAAAGAGCGUGUAGGCGGCCUGAUGGGUCAGAUGUGAAAGCCCUGGGCUUAACCCAGGA
rnacentral:rRNA from 1 species